rnacentral:lncRNA from 1 species
UUCCUAACAUUUGUGCUGUGAAAUUAUUCCCAAGCAUUAUAACUUCACCACUUGAUUCCUAAAAUGUGGAGAAUCAAAAGCAAUGAACGUAAAUAUAUACAUUAGCUCUCCAAUCAAGCCACCAACCAUAAGAAGAAUGGAUAAGUGAUACCAAAGUAUUUUGACUUUCUAACCAAAAGGACAGUCUAGCACCAUCUUCAACUAUACUUGAGAUUUAGAUGCUCCUUUCUUCCAUGGUUCAAUCUUUCUAUGAUAAUGAUCCUUCACCAUAUGAUUUUUUCAUCCCAUAUGAAGUAGAAGAUCC